AUUUAUACUGCAGCAGUGCCUGCAUGGAUGUAAGGAACUCCAUCUAAUGGAAAUCCCAUGCCUCAGGCUGAGCUGGAGGGAGCAUCUUGAAUGGCUCAGACCCAGGCCUUCGAGGCAAGGGACGGACACCGUGGUACUUGGUUUGUGGUGGAAUAUCUGGAAAAAGCAUUGGUUACAUAUUUGUUACCCUUGGCUAAUGAGUCCCAGUCAGCGGAGGCUAAGCUGAACACCACACAGGCAGCAGACCAUCAGCUCGCUUCUCGUGGAUGCAAAGAAGAUGUCAGGGGAAUCAGGCCUUGUCUUUUCAUGUAACCUGGCAGCUGAUUUCCCCCUUAAUUAGUUACAAUACUAUUCACACAAAACAAAGGAUUUUGUUAUUUUUUUUUAAACAAA
rnacentral:lncRNA from 1 species